GGGCUGUCUUUGGCAGCACAUAUACUAAAGUUGGAGUGAUACAGAGAAGAUUAGCAUCACCCCUGCACACAAUUACAUACUAAUGCAUGAAUCAUUCCAUAAAAAA